rnacentral:lncRNA from 1 species
CUUAUCUAGUUCCCUGGCCAUAGUGUUAUUGUUCUUUUUCCCUUUGGUACUCUUGUUGACAAUGUUAUAGACACGACCUUUGUUGUUGGCUCUCUUUCUGUCUCUGGCACCUAUGUUGACACUUUCUGAAUCUCUUCUCGAGAUCAUGUUUGUCACGUCCUUGAUUUUCAUCUCUGAUUUGGUUAAGGAUUUGUGAUUUGUUUUGACCUCUUACUUGCUUCAAC